AGCAGCCGCGGUAAUUCCAGCUCCAAUAGCGUAUAUUAAAAGUUGUUGCAGUUAAAAAAGCUCGUAGUUGAAUUUCGGGAUCAAUAUGUCUGUCGUGCCUUGGUACGUACGGGUGUAAUUGGUCUCUACCUUCUGAGGAUCCUUGAUGUCAUUAAUUUGGUGUCUUGGGGAAUCAGGACUGUUACCUUGAAAAAAAUUAGAGUGUUUAAAGCAGGCAUACGCUUGAAUACAUUAGCAUGGAAUAAUGAAAUAGGACGUUCGAUUCUAUUUUGUUGGUUUUCUAGGAUCGACGUAAUGAUUAAUAGGGAUAGUUGGGGGCAUUAGUAUUCAAUUGUCAGAGGUGAAAAUUCUUGGAUUUAUUGAAGACUAACUACUGCGAAAGCAUUUGCCAAGGAUGUUUUCAUUAAUCAAGAACGAAAGUUAGGGAUCGAAGACGAUCAGAUACCGUCGUAGUCCUUAACCAUAAAACUAUGCCGACUAGGGAUCGGAUGAUGUUAAAUUUUUAANGUACUUCAUUCGG
rnacentral:rRNA from 1 species